ensembl:lncRNA
UUUUCAGCUUGUACUGGGUUUGAUAGUGUUCCCUGCCUCCCCUGGCCAAGACCAUGUCUAUCUGGAACCUCAGCAUGUGAACUUAUUUGGAAGCAGAUACAAAGAAACACAAGAAACAGAUACACAGGAGAAGGCGGCCGUGUGACGACUGAGACGGAGACUGGCAUGAGCCACCUACAAGCCAGGAGCUCCAAGGACGGAUGCAACCAGCUGCAGCCAGAGGGGGCAGAGAAGAGUUCUAUCCAGAACCUUCAGAGGGAGCGUGUCCCUGCUGACACUAACUUCAGCCUUCCAGACUCCAGAAUCCCAAGACUACACAAUUCUGUUGUUUGAAGCCACCCAGUUUGUGGUGAUUUGUCACGGCAGCCCCAGGAAACCCAUACACUGUUGAAACACGUCUUUCAGGGAUGUGAUUUAUCCCUAUUCCCAUAUUUGGACAAAGAAAUUAAAUCCUAUGGUAUGACCGA